rnacentral:rRNA from 1 species
GACGAACGCUGGCGGCGUGCUUAACACAUGCAAGUCGAACGGAAAGGCCCUGCUUGCAGGGUGCUCGAGUGGCGAACGGGUGAGUAACACGUGGGUGAUCUGCCCCUUACUUUGGGAUAAGCCUGGGAAACUGGGUCUAAUACUGGAUAGGACCAUGCUGUAGGUGGUGUGGUGGAAAGAUUUUUUCGGUAAGGGAUGAGCUCGCGGCCUAUCAGCUUGUUGGUGGGGUAAUGGCCUACCAAGGCGUUGACGGGUAGCCGGCCUGAGAGGGUGGACGGCCACAUUGGGACUGAGAUACGGCCCAGACUCCUACGGGAGGCAGCAGUGGGGAAUAUUGCACAAUGGGCGCAAGCCUGAUGCAGCGACGCCGCGUGGGGGAUGACGGCCUUCGGGUUGUAAACUCCUUUCAGCCAUGACGAAGCCUCUUUUGGGGUGACGGUAGUGGUAGAAGAAGCACCGGCUAACUACGUG